CGGGUGAGCUCGUGAGAAGGGGGCAAAAAGCUGCAGCCGGCAUCGCCUCGGGUCGUGGCAAAUUGCGUUCUGCUGAGAAACGGGAAGAAAACGCGUGGGAACGGUCGGACACGCAACAGCAAGUGGAUGGGAAAGGAGCCCUCUCCAACACAAACCUCAUUGACUAAUGGGGCGGUUUUGGGUUUCGCCUUCGAAAGGUUCGGAAAUCGGCAGCGUUCUGUUACCGCCCGCCCGGCUCCAGCCCAGAGCCCGCGGCUCUUAUCGGACACCGCUCCCAGCGCUCCCUUCUGCUGCUCCUCUCUCCAGAAACCCGCACUUUAAAAACACAUAGAGAGCUUUAGGUUUAUUUGGUAGGCUUAUUUCUAAGGCCGGAGGGGCAGAGGGGGGCCGCGUUUUCUAUCUUUCCUAUACAAUUCUUUUUUUUUUUUUUUUUUUUUCCGGCGAAA
rnacentral:lncRNA from 1 species